CACGGCUAACUACGUGCCAGCAGCCGCGGUAAUACGUAGGUGGCAAGCGUUAUCCGGAUUUAUGGGCGUAAAGCGAGCGCAGGCGGUUGCUUAGGUCUGAUGUGAAAGCCUUCGGCUUAACCGAAGAAGUGCAUCGGAAACCGGGCGACUUGAGUGCAGAAGAGGGCAGUGGAACUCCAUGUGUAGCGGUGGAAUGCGUAGAUAUAUGGAAGAACACCAGUGGCGAAGGCGGCUGUCUGGUCUGCAACUGACGCUGAGGCUCGAAAGCAUGGGUAGCGAACAGGAUUAGAUACCCUGGUAGUCCAUGCCGUAAACGAUGAGUGCUAGGUGUUGGAGGGUUUCCGCCCUUCAGUGCCGCAGCUAACGCAUUAAGCACUCCGCCUGGGGAGUACGACCGCAAGGUUGAAACUCAAAGGAAUUGACGGGGGCCCGCACAAGCGGUGGAGCAUGUGGUUUAAUUCGAAGCUACGCGAAGAACCUUACCAGGUCUUGACAUCUUGCGCUAACCUAAGAGAUUAGGCGUUCCCUUCGGGGACGCAAUGACAGGUGGUGCAUGGUCGUCGUCAGCUCGUGUCGUGAGAUGUUGGGUUAAGUCCCGCAACGAGCGCAACCCUUGUUACUAGUUGCCAGCAUUCAGUUGGGCACUCUAGUGAGACUGCCGGUGACAAACCGGAGGAAGGUGGGGACGACGUCAGAUCAUCAUGCCCCUUAUGACCUGGGCUACACACGUGCUACAAUGGCCGGUACAACGAGCAGCUAACCCGCGAGGGUGUGCAAAUCUCUUAAAGCCGGUCUCAGUUCGGACUGCAGUCUGCAACUCGACUGCACGAAGUCGGAAUCGCUAGUAAUCGCGGAUCAGCAUGCCGCGGUGAAUACGUUCCCGGGCCUUGUACACACCGCCCGUCACACCAUGGAAGUUUGCAAUGCCCAAAGUCAGUGGCCUAACCAUUUUGGAGGGAGCUGCCUAAGGCAGGGCAGAUGACUGGGGUGAAGUCGUAACAAGGUAGCCGUAGGAGAACCUGCGGCUGGAUCACCUCCUUUCUAA
rnacentral:rRNA from 1 species